rnacentral:rRNA from 1 species
AUUGAACGCUGGCGGCAUGCCUUACACAUGCAAGUCGAACGGCAGCACGGGUGCUUGCACCUGGUGGCGAGUGGCGAACGGGUGAGUAAUAUAUCGGAACGUACCUUAUUGUGGGGGAUAACGCAGCGAAAGCUGUGCUAAUACCGCAUAAUCCCUAAGGGGGAAAGCGGGGGACCGUAAGGCCUCGCGCAAUUAGAGCGGCCGAUACCUGAUUAGCUAGCUGGUGAGGUAAAGGCUCACCAAGGCAACUAUCAGUAGCUGGUCUGAGAGGACAGUCAGCCACCAUGGGACUGAGACACGGCCCAGACUCCUACGGGAGGCAGCAGUGGGGAAUUUUGGACAAGGGGGGCAACCCUGAUCCAGCAAUGCCGCGUGAGUGAAGAAGGCCUUCGGGUUGUAAAGCUCUUUUGUCAGGGAAGAAACAGCAGCUCUAACACAGUUUGCGAAUGACGGUACCUGAAGAAUAAGCACCGGCUAACUACGUGCCAGCCGCCGCGGUAA